AGAGUUUGAUCAUGGCUCAGAGCGAACGCUGGCGGCGUGCUUAACACAUGCAAGUCGAACGCGCAGUUUUCUGUAGCAAUACAGGAGGCGGGCGCGUGGCGAACGGGUGCGUAACACGUGGAUAACCUACCUUUGGGUGGGGAAUAACCCAGUGAAAAUUGGGCUAAUACCGCAUCACAUGACGAGGGCGCAUGCUCUUG
rnacentral:rRNA from 1 species